rnacentral:rRNA from 1 species
GAUGAACGCUGGCGGCGUGCCUAAUACAUGCAAGUCGAGCGAACAGACGAGGAGCUUGCUCCUCUGACGUUAGCGGCGGACGGGUGAGUAACACGUGGAUAACCUACCUAUAAGACUGGGAUAACUUCGGGAAACCGGAGCUAAUACCGGAUAACAUGUUGAACCGCAUGGUUCAACAGUGAAAGACGGUCUUGCUGUCACUUAUAGAUGGAUCCGCGCCGCAUUAGCUAGUUGGUAAGGUACCGGCUUACCAAGGCAACGAUGCGUAGCCGACCGGAGAGGGUGAUCGGCCACACUGGAACUGAGACACGGUCCAGACUCCUACGGGAGGCAGCAGUAGGGAAUCUUCCGCAAUGGGCGAAAGCCUGACGGAGCAACGCCGCGUGAGUGAAGAAGGUCUUCGGAUCGUAAAACUCUGUUAUUGGGGAAGAAAAAAUGUGUAAGUAACUAUGCACGUCUUGACGGUACCUAAUGAGAAAGCCACGGCUAACUACGUG